rnacentral:ncRNA from 1 species
AGAUGUUAUGGUUCUCUCCGAGUCGCAAGACCGGGAGCUAAGAGGGAAGCCGGUGAAAUGUCCUGGACAUUGAUGCCGGCGCUGCCCCCGCAACUGUAAACAGCGAGUUGUUGUCGACAAUGCCACUGAAGCCCAGCUUCGGGAAGGCCGACACCAGCGCCGACCUGUGAGCCAGGAGACCUGCCAUGACAUGAU